rnacentral:rRNA from 1 species
UCUGAUCAGCCAUGCCGCGUGCAGGAAGACUGCCCUAUGGGUUGUAAACUGCUUUUAUACAGGAAGAAACACUCUCACGUGUGAGAGCUUGACGGUACUGUAAGAAUAAGGAUCGGCUAACUCCGUGCCAGCAGCCGCGGUAAUACGGAGGAUCCAAGCGUUAUCCGGAAUCAUUGGGUUUAAAGGGUCCGUAGGUGGAUGAUUAAGUCAGAGGUGAAAUCCUGCAGCUCAACUGUAGAAUUGCCUUUGAUACUGGUUGUCUUGAGUUAUUAUGAAGUAGUUAGAAUAUGUAGUGUAGCGGUGAAAUGCAUAGAUAUUACAUAGAAUACCAAUUGCGAAGGCAGAUUACUAAUAAUAUACUGACACUGAUGGACGAAAGCGUGGGGAGCGAACAGGAUUAGAUACCCUGGUAGUCCACGCCGUAAACGAUGGUCACUAGCUGUUCGGACUUCGGUUUGAGUGGCUAAGCGAAAGUGAUAAGUGACCCACCUGGGGAGUACGUUCGCAAGAAUGAAACUCAAAGGAAUUGACGGGGGCCCGCACAAGCGGUGGAGCAUGUGGUUUAAUUCGAUGAUACGCGAGGAACCUUACCAGGGCUUAAAUGUAGAUUGACAGGUUUAGAAAUAGACUUUUCUUCGGACAAUUUACAAGGUGCUGCAUGGUUGUCGUCAGCUCGUGCCGUGAGGUGUCAGGUUAAGUCCUAUAACGAGCGCAACCCCUGUUGUUAGUUGCCAGCGAGUCAUGUCGGGAACUCUAACAAGACUGCCAGUGCAAACUGUGAGGAAAGGUGGGGAUGACGUCAAAUCAUCACGGCCCUUACGUCCUGGGCUACACACGUGCUACAAUGGUAGGGACAGAGAGCAG